UCCUUGGUGGUUCAGUGGUUAAGAAUCUGCCUUCCAAUGCAGGGGUCAUGGGUUCGAUCCCUGAUCAAGGAA
rnacentral:tRNA from 1 species